ensembl:misc_RNA predicted gene, 24877
GGUUGAUCUGAAGAUAGUGAGUUAUCUCAACUGAUUGUUCAAAGUCAGUUCCAGAUUGCAUCCCUAUUCUACACUCCACGCCCCCCUUUCCUGUUACUGCACUUAAUCAGCCGUUA